CGAGUAAGCCAGAUGGUCGCUGCUGCAAAUUUUGCAGGAGAGGAAAGUCCGAGCUCCAUAGGGCAGGGUGCUGGGUAAUACCCAGUGGAGGCAACUCUAAGGAAAGUGCAACAGAGAUAUACCGCCAAAGUUUACUUUGGUAAGGGUGGAAAGGUGAGGUAAGAGCUCACCAGCGCAAUGGCGACUUUGCGGCUAUGUAAACCCCACUUGGAGCAAGAUCGAAUAGGGGGACAUAUGGGGCUGCCCGUCCCGUCCCCGGGUAAGAUCGCUUGAGCCUAUUGGUAACAAUAGGCCUAGAUAGAUGACCGUUUAACACAGAACUCGGCUUAUAGACUUAGUCGCAUA
rnacentral:RNase_P_RNA from 1 species